rnacentral:rRNA from 1 species
AGUCGAGCGGGGAAGGUUGCUUCGGUAACUGACCUAGCGGCGGACGGGUGAGUAAUGCUUAGGAAUCUGCCUAUUAGUGGGGGACAACAUUCCGAAAGGGAUGCUAAUACCGCAUACGCCCUACGGGGGAAAGCAGGGGAUCUUCGGACCUUGCGCUAAUAGAUGAGCCUAAGUCGGAUUAGCUAGUUGGUGGGGUAAAGGCCUACCAAGGCGACGAUCUGUAGCGGGUCUGAGAGGAUGAUCCGCCACACUGGGACUGAGACACGGCCCAGACUCCUACGGGAGGCAGCAGUGGGGAAUAUUGGACAAUGGGGGGAACCCUGAUCCAGCCAUGCCGCGUGUGUGAAGAAGGCCUUUUGGUUGUAAAGCACUUUAAGCGAGGAGGAGGCGCUCUAGGAUAAUACCCUAGAUGCGUGGACGUUACUCGCAGAAUAAGCACCGGCUAACUCUGUGCCAGCAGCCGCGGUAAUACAGAGGGUGCAAGCGUUAAUCGGAUUUACUGGGCGUAAAGCGCGCGUAGGUGGCUAAUUAAGUCAAAUGUGAAAUCCCCGAGCUUAACUUGGGAAUUGCAUUCGAUACUGGUUAGCUAGAGUAUGGGAGAGGAUGGUAGAAUUCCAGGUGUAGCGGUGAAAUGCGUAGAGAUCUGGAGGAAUACCGAUGGCGAACGCAGCCAUCUGGCCUAAUACUGACACUGAGGUGCGAAAGCAUGGGGAGCAA